rnacentral:misc_RNA from 1 species
GGAACAUCACCCAAUUUAAAGGUUGAGCAACUAUAUAGUAAUAGAAGUGACAUUAGCAAUUGCAAAAUAAAGGUAACAUCAAUAAAAGUUUAAUUUUUAAAUCCUCCUCAGUUUUCAAUUGACGGAUGCACAAUUAUUUUCUAUAUCAUCCACCCAUAUUUUGCAUUCCACUUUCAAAAAGUUCAACAAGUAACAAUGAUAGAUGCAUCAACAACAACUUCACUUACAGUUGACUCA